rnacentral:misc_RNA from 1 species
UAAAACAAUAGCAAGCAUCUCUCUCAAUCUGAUGCUGGCUUUCUUGACUCAAAACCUACUAAGACACCUAUGGACAGUAAGCUUAAACUCAGCAAGGACCAGGGUGACCCUCUUUCAGAUGUAAUUUCAUAUAGGAAGCUUGUUGGCGGAUUACUGUACCUUACAUCCACUAGACCUGAUAUAUCAUCUAUUGUGCAGCAACUAAGUCAGUUUAUGGACAAACCAACUUCAACUCAUCUUCAGCUGGCACAUGAGUUCUUAGAUAUAUAAAAGCUGCUCCUGGUGCUGGUCUUUUCUUUCUAGCAACCUCUGAUCUCCAGCUUAAGGCUUUUAGUGACUUUGACUGGGCUGGAUGCAUUGGUACCAGAAAAUCCAUUGCUGGAUUUUGUAUCUUUUUAGGCCCUUCUUUAAUUUGUUGGAGUGCCAAGAAAUAGCCUACUGUAUCUAGGUCUUCAUCUAAAGUAGAGUAGAGAGCUCUUGCUUCUACUACUUGUGAAUUGCAGUGGCUUAAAUAUUUGUUGCAGGAUUUGCACAUUUGUCAUUCACGGCCAACCUUGUUGUUUUGCGACAACAAGUUUGCCUUUCAAAUAGCUACAUUCCAUGAGCGCACCAAACACAUUGAAACACAUUGAACUUAACUGUCAUAUCGUAAGGGAAAAGAUUCAUUCAGGUCUCAUCAAGCUUCUACCACUUGCUUCUUCUACUCAACUAGCUUAUAUUUGUACAAAAGCACUUCCUACUGCUCCAUUCCAAGAAAUCAUUUCCAAGCUGGGAAUGAUA